GAUGAACGCUGGCGGCGUGCCUAAUACAUGCAAGUCAAGCGAUCAGAUGAGGAGCAUGCUCCUCAGCAGUUAGCGGCGGACGGGUGAGUACCACGUCAACAUCCUCCCUAUAAGACUGGGAUAACUUCGAAAAACGGGUGCUAAUACAGGAUAAUAUAUUGAACCGCAUGUAUCAAUAGAAAAAGACGGUUUUGCUUUCUAUGGUAGAUUGUCCCGGGCUGUAUUAGCUAGUUGGUAAGGUAACGGCUUACCAAGGCAACGAUGCAUAGGGGACCUGAGAGGGAACGAGGCCACACUGGACCUGAGAUGCGGUCCAGACUCCUACGGGAGGCGGCAGUGGGGAAUCUGACGGUAAGGGCGAAGGCAUGACGGAGCAACGCCGCGCGGGUGAAGAGGAUCUUCGGAUCGUGAAACUAUGUUAGUAGGGAGGAACAAAUGUGUAAGUAACUAUGCACGCCAUGACAGUACCUAAUCAAAAAGCCACGGCUAACUACGUG
rnacentral:rRNA from 1 species